AACAUUUGGCUUCUGAGGACUUAGGUUGACCAGCAAAUGUUUGUGCAUUCUGAUUCAUGACUUGCUUCUCAUUAUUUUAACUAAACCAGGUGGCUGCAAAGAACAAUGACGUGCAGUUGACAGAUUUUAUCGAAAGUGAGUUUUUGAACGAACAGGUGGAAGCCAUCAAGAAAAUAUCAGAGUAUGUUGCUCAGCUAAGAAGAGUGGGCAAAGGACAUGGUGUCUGGCACUUUGAUCAGAUGCUUCUCCAAGAGGGAGCAGAAGUUGUUGCUUGAUGAUGAUGCCCUAGUUAAGAUCCAGAGGGAGGAGGAAAGUGCUGCUGUCUCACAGGGGUACUUUUAUGUGCUCUUCUAAUAAUAGUUAGCUUUUAGAAUUUUUGUCCAGAGUGUUGGUGACGGGAUAUGUUUUAGUUGCUUGUUUUAGUUGUUAUGGCUGUAAGCUUGAUGACAAACACAUGGAGGAUUGCUCUUUUAGAGGGAUUCUUCUUCUAUGCCAGUAGGGAGAAAAAGAGAUUUGUGAUAAUCACCUUUUACAUAAUUCAAGAUAUUUGGAAAUAGCUGGUUCAUAU